UUGUAAAAGAGCAACAUCUCCUGGGACUUUCACUUCCCCUUGCAGUUCACUGUAGAUGUGACAUGGCAGAUGAGAGUUCAGCCUAGGAAACGGCUCCAGAUUCCUGCAGGAGCUGUCUUCAUCCCAAGGAGUUUGCGGAAGAACAGGAGCUCUGGUUUUGUUUGAAAGACCCCGGGGCUGGUAUGAUGAAGAAACAGAUACAGAGCACCUUCAUCCUAUAGAUUGUAUUUCCUUGUUUUAAACUAGUGACUUGAUUUUCAGUGCCUAGCUUGUUGAUAAUUUUGCCACUCUUCUCAGUGCUCAGAAAGAGAAGAAAAUGGAGCAGAACAAAGGUGUUCCACCUUCACUGAAGCAAUCUGUGCUAGCUGGCAGAGCAAGAAUUAGGGAUGUGUCAGGUUGAGAGGCUGGACCAGAGCUUUGUGCGGGGAGGAGAAAGCCUGCAUGGGAACAAAUCUUCUGUUUGCCGCUAGAAGAUGCCAAGGGGGAGAUACCAUUUUGGAUUUUUACCCCUUGGUGAUGACCUCAGAGUGGGACUAGGAGCAGUGGGGUUUUCCUGUGGGACUCCUCCCUCUUCUUGUUACGUUCAGUAUUAAAAGGGAAACUGCUCUGAAAGGGUAUCCUGCUCUUCCCAGCUCCACGGUUCAGACGUGGAGGCAUUUUGUGUCCCUAUUAUAUGCACUCCUAUUACAAUGCGGUUUAGGAUGUAGGAUGUUGUAUGGUUAAAGACAGCUAUUACAACUGAAAAUAGAAGCAGAGCUUUCUGACUGCUAUGAUUGUUAUGGAUUUGUGUGAUUAAUAUUUAGCUGCUUUACAAAAAGCACCAGCACCAAAAGCUGGAAGAUGAAAUCAGAACAAAGUUGUGCUAAGGACUGCGAAUGGCUUUUUUGUUUGUUUGUUUUAAAAUAAAUCUGUGUGUAAUGAG